rnacentral:tRNA from 1 species
GUUGAGAUAGCAAAGUAGGUAAAUGCAAGAAUUCUAAGCUUUCUUUAUCGGGGGUUCAAGUCUCCCUCUCAAUU